rnacentral:rRNA from 1 species
CGGACGGGUGAGUAACACAUGGGUACCUACCUUUCAGUGAGGAAUACCGACGAGAAAUCGUCGACAAUACCCCAUAGGCUCUUUAUUGAGAGCAAAGUCCUUUCGCAAGAAGGGACGCUGGAAGAUGGGCCUGUGGCCGAUUAGCUGGUUGGUAGGGUAAUGGCCUACCAAGGCGACGAUCGGUAGCUGGUCUGAGAGGACGAUCAGCCACACUGGGAUUGAGAACGGCCCAG